UCAGGCGACGCUCCGCCUUUUCCUUCCCUUCCACUGGGCUUGCGCCGGACCGGGUUCGGUCCUGCCUGCGUCUGGUUUCGGCGCUCGAGGAGGAUGCCGCUGCCGCUGGGAUCGUUGUUGCGCUCCGUGGUUUCCUCGGACUUGCGCGACCUCGAAGACCUCGCUUGCUGCCCCGCUGGUCCUGGAUGAGCCGAGAGAGCCGCGCCGCCCCCCUGCCGCCCGCCGCCCCUUCUCCGUCGCUGCCUGCCUGCCCGCCGGGGAUGCAGCGCCACGCAGCGCCGCCCACGGGGCUGCCCCCACCCCCCACCCGCGAGGACUGUGGCCAGAGCGCAGGGGGCAGAGGGAGGGAGAGGCUCCUCCUGAGCACUGCGGCGCAGCCUCUUCCCUCCCCGGAGGCCGGGCUGCGUGAAAGAGGAGCUCUGCCCUGCGGGAGAGGGGGUCGGGUUCCACCCCUCCUCCCAAUGCAGCUGGAAGGUCUUCCUGCCAGGAGGGACCGUUUGGACCCUUUGGAGGCCUGAGGGGGGGGGCGGCCUGUGGUUCUCUGCCUGGCUUCCGCCAGCGCCGCUAGCUUUAAAGACCCGCCGCGGAGGCAACGAGGGCAGCCGGGUGAAGGGUGGUUGGGCGCCUUCAGGGAGGGAGCCGCCCCCCUCGGGCCUGUGCUCCUGCCCCUUGCCAGCCGCGAGCCCUCGCCGUGGGAUGGAGAGGAGGUCGCCCGCCCGCCCGCCGGGAGAACUUUCUGAAAGGACACGACUGGCCCACACCCCUAUAUGUUGCUGAGGACUGUCCCGUUGUCGUUUGAGAUCUGGAUGAAGCACGUGGUUUCAACACCACCCACCCGCCUGCACCCAUCCGUGUGAGUCCACUUUUGGCCAAAAGAUUAGUUAACCCUUAUACUGGAUUUGUGAAUGGAGCCUUUCAUGAAUGGGCCCCUGUAAUUGUAGAAAAAGCCUGAGAAAUAGAACACCUUUGUAAUCUGUGGUGCUUGAUCUGAGCCAGCUGCAGAGGCCUCAUCGGUAUAAGUCAUCUCUAUAAUUCAUUGGACAGCAUAUGCAGAGUUUUGUAACUGACCCUAAAAUGGUUGUUUUCAAUGGAUAUUGACUGUUUUUAUGCAUUUUCUGCUUUUAAAUUAUAUUUGUUUUAAACGUUCACUGUUUUGUUUUUUGUAAACCACCAAGAGAGCUUCAGCUAUGGGGCGGUAUAUAAAUGUAAUAAAUACAAUUAAUACAA